GUCCACGCCGUAACUAUGGGUGCUAGCCGUUGGGAAGCUUGCUUUCAGUGGCGCAGCUAACGCAUUAAGCACCCCGCCUGGGGAGUACGGUCGCAAGAUUAAACUCAAAGGAAUUGACGGGGCCCGGCACAAGCGGUGGAGCAUGUGGUUUAAUUCGAAGCAACGCGCAGAACCUUACCUACCCUUGACAUGUCCAGUAUGGGUUUCAGAGAUGAGAUCCUUCAGUUCGGCUGGCUGGAACACAGGUGCUGCAUGGCUGUCGU
rnacentral:rRNA from 1 species